GACGAACGCUGGCGGCGUGCUUAACACAUGCAAGUCGAGCGGUAAGGCCCCAUCGGGGGUACACGAGCGGCGAACGGGGGCGUAACAGGUGAGCAAUCUGCCCAUCCCAUCGGGAUAACUCCGGGAAACCGAAGCUAAUACCGAAUACGACCAACUCCGGCAUCGGAUGGAGGCGGGAAGUCCCGGCGGCGUUGGCGGAGCACGCGGCCGAUCAGCUUGUUGGUGGGGUAACGGCCCACCAAGGCUCCGGCCGGUAGCCGGCCUGAGAGGGUGACCGGCCACACUGGGACUGCGACACGGCCCAGACUCCUACGGGAGGCAGCAGUGGGGAAUAUUGGACAAUGGGCGCAAGCCUGAUCCAGCAACGCCGCGUGAGGGAUGACGGCCUUCGGGUUGUAAACCUCUUUCAGCAGGGACGAAGCGCAAGUGACGGUACCUGCAGAAGAAGCACCGGCCAACUACGUG
rnacentral:rRNA from 1 species